GUCCACGCCGUAAACGAUGGGUGCUAGGUGUCGCGGGCUUUGACCCCUGCGGUGCCGUAGCUAACGCAUUAAGCACCCCGCCUGGGGAGUACGGCCGCAAGGCUAAAACUCAAAGGAAUUGACGGGGGCCCGCACAAGCGGUGGAGCAUGUGGUUCAAUUCGACGCAACGCGCAGAACCUUACCUGGGCUAGAAAGUGCGAGGACUUGGUCGAAAGAUCGGGGUGCUCUUCGGAGAACUCGUAGUUAGGUGCUGCAUGGCUGUCGU
rnacentral:rRNA from 1 species